rnacentral:rRNA from 1 species
GACGAACCGAACGAACGUUGUUCGGAAUCACUGGGCUUAAAGGGCGCGUAGGCGGGUGCUCAAGUCCGGGGUGAAAUCCUCCAGCUCAACUGGAGAACUGCCUCGGAUACUGGGUGCCUCGAGGGUGGUAGGGGUAUGCGGAACUAUCGGUGGAGCGGUGAAAUGCGUUGAUAUCGAUAGGAACUCCGGUGGCGAAGGCGGCAUACUGGACCACUUCUGACGCUGAGGCGCGAAAGCCAGGGGAGCAAACGGG